GAUGAACGCUGGCGGCGUGCCUAAUACAUGCAAGUCGAGCGAACGGACGAGAAGCUUGCUUCUCUGAUGUUAGCGGCGGACGGGUGAGUAACACGUGGAUAACCUACCUAUAAGACUGGGAUAACUUCGGGAAACCGGAGCUAAUACCGGAUAAUAUUUUGAACCGCAUGGUUCAAAAGUGAAAGACGGUCUUGCUGUCACUUAUAGAUGGAUCCGCGCUGCAUUAGCUAGUUGGUAAGGUAACGGCUUACCAAGGCAACGAUGCAUAGCCGACCUGAGAGGGUGAUCGGCCACACUGGAACUGAGACACGGUCCAGACUCCUACGGGAGGCGGCAGCAGGGAAUCUUCCGCAAUGGGCGAAAGCCUGACGGAGCAACGCCGCGUGAGUGAUGAAGGUCUUCGGAUCGUAAAACUCUGUUAUUAGGGAAGAACAUAUGUGUAAGUAACUGUGCACAUCUUGACGGUACCUAAUCAGAAAGCCACGGCUAACUACGUGCCAGCAGCCGCGGUAAUACGUAGGUGGCAAGCGUUAUCCGGAAUUAUUGGGCGUAAAGCGCGCGUAGGCGGUUUUUUAAGUCUGAUGUGAAAGCCCACGGCUCAACCGUGGAGGGUCAUUGGAAACUGGAAAACUUGAGUGCAGAAGAGGAAAGUGGAAUUCCAUGUGUAGCGGUGAAAUGCGCAGAGAUAUGGAGGAACACCAGUGGCGAAGGCGACUUUCUGGUCUGUAACUGACGCUGAUGUGCGAAAGCGUGGGGAUCAAACAGGAUUAGAUACCCUGGUAGUCCACGCCGUAAACGAUGAGUGCUAAGUGUUAGGGGGUUUCCGCCCCUUAGUGCUGCAGCUAACGCAUUAAGCACUCCGCCUGGGGAGUACGACCGCAAGGUUGAAACUCAAAGGAAUUGACGGGGACCCGCACAAGCGGUGGAGCAUGUGGUUUAAUUCGAAGCAACGCGAAGAACCUUACCAAAUCUUGACAUCCUUUGACAACUCUAGAGAUAGAGCUUUCCCCUUCGGGGGACAAAGUGACAGGUGGUGCAUGGUUGUCGUCAGCUCGUGUCGUGAGAUGUUGGGUUAAGUCCCGCAACGAGCGCAACCCUUAAGCUUAGUUGCCAUCAUUAAGUUGGGCACUCUAAGUUGACUGCCGGUGACAAACCGGAGGAAGGUGGGGAUGACGUCAAAUCAUCAUGCCCCUUAUGAUUUGGGCUACACACGUGCUACAAUGGACAAUACAAAGGGCAGCGAAACCGCGAGGUCAAGCAAAUCCCAUAAAGUUGUUCUCAGUUCGGAUUGUAGUCUGCAACUCGACUACAUGAAGCUGGAAUCGCUAGUAAUCGUAGAUCAGCAUGCUACGGUGAAUACGUUCCCGGGUCU
rnacentral:rRNA from 1 species